rnacentral:rRNA from 1 species
UACGAAGGGGGCUAGCGUUGCUCGGAAUGACUGGGCGUAAAGGGCGCGUAGGCGGCUUGUAUAGUCAGAUGUGAAAUUCCUGGGCUCAACCUGGGGGCUGCAUUUGAUACGUAUAGGCUCGAGUGGGGAAGAGGGUCGUGGAAUUCCCAGUGUAGAGGUGAAAUUCGUAGAUAUUGGGAAGAACACCGGUGGCGAAGGCGGCGACCUGGUCCUUGACUGACGCUGAGGCGCGAAAGCGUGGGGAGCAAACAGGA